GAAAGUUGAAAGUAGCUGAUAUGGGACCACAGAAUAUUGGCCAAUCAAUUGUAAUGACUAUACUUAUACCUAAACAAGUAAUAAAUAAAUGCAUUUGGCUUCCUUACCUUGAGUAUUGAAUCAACAUUUGAAAACAAAGUAAUCAACCUUUGGCAAUUUGUCCUUCAGAGAGAGAAAAACUCCCUUAGAAACCCAUAUUAAAAGAAACGUGCACAUGUAUCCCAGAACUUAAAGUAAAAUAAAAAAUAAAAGAAAAGAAAAGAAACAUGGGGAAAAAGGAGCAAGAGGAAGUUGAGAAGAAAAUUCAAGAAGGUGGUGCUACAAGGGCUUCUCAAUUUUGUACUUUUUCCUUUCAACAUUUUCUCUCCUGGACCCAAGAAACAUCAAAGGACUUUGUAUUCUCCAGUGAAUGAAGGAUAAAAAUUAGACAUGGAGACACUUGGUUUGGCAGAGCAGGCAUGGAAUCAUAGCAAUUGAUCUUUGGAACCCUGGUGAUCUCUGCGGUUGGCGUUAUAACUGUUUGAAGGCUUCCACCAUGUGGGGUGGCUGAGAACUGUUGUCCUGCAGCUGAGCCAGCACAGUUACACACUUUUGGUCCUUCCAUCUGAGCUGCUACACAGAGAGCAGGUUUUGGAGCAGGUUCUUACAACAUGAAGCCAUCAUGACUGAAGCUUGAUGCUCCAAACACAGACACAUUCUCACUUCCACAAAUGUUUAAGUAAAAAGAGAAUGUGCUGAAGGAGGAAAUUAUUGUCUUUUUGUUUCCUUCCUUUCAUUUUCUUUUCUUGAAAAAACACACCUCGUAUGGUGUUUUGACUUACAGAAAAUGAAAAACAAAGAUUAAUUCUGAAACUGCUAAUUGUGUAAAAAGCACGGAUUUUCAAAGAAACUAAAUGUUCUUUUAUUAGCAUGGAAAAACUUUUGAAGAGAAAGUAUCAACCAUUUUCCUUCGAAUAUUUUCCCCUAAUAAAACAGAUAUUUGGACAAGAUUCAUCAAAAUAUGUCUUUCCACCCCCAAAAUAUGUGUAUCUAUUAUGUAUCAAUUAAAAGUAAAAGUAAAAAAUAUAACUGUCAAAAA
rnacentral:lncRNA from 1 species